CGUUGCACACGAGCACGUUGAAAACGGAAGUGACUAACAACAGAAAUUGACAAAUGAGCAGAGAGACUGCGGUCAAGUGAGCCGUUGUUUGCGAUACUCCAAGCCAGCCACCACUUAAGAUUGUUUUCUUCUCUAUUUCAGAUGUGAUGCUAUACAGGUGCUUGGAGCUCCCAAAAAGGAAGAACGCAAUGGUCACUCGGCCUGAUAGGAAGGGAGAGCACCAGGAAGACAGCACCACUCAUCAAGACAAGGGAGAACCAAGCUAUAAUCAAACAUUGACCUCCGGCAGAAAACAGAAAAAGUGUGCCAAAGCAAAAGAAACAUAAUCAUAGCAAGGAAGCAAGGAAUCUGAUAAAUAUACAUCUGAAGUAAAGCCUUUAAUCAUACGAGGAGAAAGGGACAAAGGGAAUCUAUGUGGACGAAAAAUUAGAGUGGAAAAAAGCCGAGUACAGACAGAGUGGGAGAGGUGGACCGAGAGGGGCGGCAGAAGGCAGGAUGGAGUAGAUGAAGAGGUGUGGGGAGGAGGUAUUUUUAACAUGUUCUAAUCAAAGCCAGCACAUCAAAUGUGCCCUCUCAGUUAAUCAGAAUGGAGAAAUACAGAAAAAAAGAGAGAAAAGCUGGUCUCUGAGGCCAGAACACAGCCAGACUCAAAUAUAUUCUGGGGAUUUGGUGCGUACAGCAUACGGAAAUGAGGACAGAAUUCACUAAAUUCUCCUCCUUGCUUAAAUCUUUUCCACAUGAAAGGGUCGUCCUGUAGACUCGAGGGUUUAAUAAGAUGUGUGGGGGGUUGUCUUCAGCCAGCUCACUGGGCUGAGGGGGGUUGAGCAAGAACCGGAGGGGAUGAGUUGUGUCUGAGGGCAAGAGGAGGGUGGACUCAGAGAGGAUAAAAUCGCUCUCCUUCAUGUUUGCUCACAUUUUGGGAACGUUCUGCGGACAUGCAGCUUGAAAGGCUUUAACUCUUCACUCUAUAAUCCGGGAGGUAGAACUGUCCUAUAUGUCAUCUCCAUAAUGAAUCCCAGCAGAUUAGCAGAGACAAUUAUUCUAAUCUAGAGAACACUCAACUAUACCUGGUCCUCUUUUCAUUCACCAAUCAGCUAAAAAAAGUGAAACUAGAAAUACAGCCCUGAGCUUGUAUCCCUCUGCCGACCGGUGCAGUAUCAGUUCCUACAUGUGUUUCUGACAUUAAACAUUAACAAUAAUAUGAA